GGCCGUUUAGGUCAUCGUCACUGACUGACAUAAGCGCGAAAAAAAAAAAAGAGGCAACUAUGGGUUCAGUGGGAUUCAAAGACAGCAAAGUCCCCACUCAAGACCCAGACAAACUUGAAGCCAGCCUGUCAUCUUAGAACAACAGCACAGCUUUUGACAAACGCACGAGCAGAAAAGAUGAGACGCCAGCCCAGUGACAAGCCAUGAGGGGGUUGAUGGAUGCUGACAGGCAUUCAAAGACAUGCGGCACGGACUCAAAAACUAGCAGGCUUCGACUCGACACACAGGAGACGAGUUCAGGAUGUGGUGACGAGCAGACAGGAUGCGCAGACCACAGGAGCAGGAAGUAAAAUUCAGGACUUACUCAAAGUCAUAAUCAAACAUGGCAGAAGGGCUGGGGCGGAAAGGGGAGGAGUCAGCAUGACAACAGGGGAGGAAAACAUCAGCAGCUGUUAGUUUAGUUCACCACCCACAGUCUGAACCCCGCUAUCGACACAAUUGUCCACAGAUUGACACGCGUCGCCUCAGUGUGUUAGCAGGAGAGCCCGCUGGGUUAAUAUAUAGUGAGAGAAGGAAUACCCGAAAGCAUGAAAAAUAAGGUGAAGGUGGAGACAGCCACAUUUUUUCCCCCCAGCAAUCUGGAUGUCUGACAGUGCUGCCUCUCACAGGCCACCCUUGGUAUUACACCAGAAAUCGUCUUCGAGUUGUUCUAUUGGUCGUUUUUCCUGGCAGUUAGCAAACAACUUAAUGGUGCAUUACCUCCACCAAUUGAUCCGGAAGGUGGGUCCUGAUUUCACUCGAAAAGAGCAACACCAGAAAUCUGCUUUGUGCGACGCAACUCGUGAUUUAUUUCA